rnacentral:rRNA from 1 species
GAUGAACGCUAGCUACAGGCUUAACACAUGCAAGUCGAGGGGCAGCGCAGUGUAGCAAUACAUGGGCGGCGACCGGCGCACGGGUGCGUAACGCGUAUCCAACCUUCCCGUUACUCAGGGAUAGCCUUCCGAAAGGGGAGAUUAAUACCUGAUGGUGUUCAAAUUCCGCAUGUAUUUGAACUAAAGAUUUAUCGGUAACGGAUGGGGAUGCGUGACAUUAGGUAGAUGGCGGGGUAACGGCCCACCAUGCCUACGAUGUCUAGGGGUUCUGAGAGGAAGGUCCCCCACACUGGAACUGAGACACGGGUCCAGACUCCUACGGGA